GGAUAGGGGAGAACAGUUUUUUUUUAUGGAAGAACGGUUUGACAAAGCUUGUCAGUUGAAGCCUUUGGUCGUUCAUGGGUUUUCUCCACUCCUCUUGAGUUACAAUCGAAGUUCAACCGAAAGGGAAGUGCAAUCCUAAGAACACAAGAAUUUCACAGGAGUAGGAUAGGAAUUUUACAAGUUUUCGUUUAAAAACGCAGGAAAGACACAGGAUUCAGGAAAUAAUCGUUCAAUCCAAAGAAGCCCUAAGUUUGAAGAGAAAGCUCUCAAGUUCAGUGUGUUCAGAUGCCGCCGUCAUGUUUCCUGCGAGUAUCCUGGUCCUCCUUCCAUAACUAAAAGAUAUUCCUGCUGGAAACAGAGUAAACUUGAGUAGUUUUGUUUGCAGUUGCGCUACUUGUUCAGUUAGUUGAGAGUUGUUGGUGGGUCAUGACCGAUCAUUUUCGUGGACGAUUUUUAUCCUUACAGCCAGGAUCAAUCAUGGUGCUAUUGUGCUACUAGAUUCUCCGUAUGGCAGAAUGAAAGUAGGGUUGUAAUUGAGAUUUCAAGA